rnacentral:rRNA from 1 species
UACAGAGGUCUCAAGCGUUGUUCGGAUUCAUUGGGCGUAAAGGGUGCGUAGGCGGCGCGGUAAGUCGGAUGUGAAAUCUCGGGGCUUAACUCCGAAACUGCAUUCGAUACUGCCGUGCUUGAGGACUGGAGAGGAGACUGGAAUUUACGGUGUAGCAGUGAAAUGCGUAGAGAUCGUAAGGAAGACCAGUGGCGAAGGCGGGUCUCUGGACAGUUCCUGACACUGAGGCACGAAGGCCAGGGGAGCAAACGGG